UUCUGGGUGAGGGGAAACUGUUGAAAUCCUUACUUAAUGUAUACUAAGCUGAUCUUCUGUAUAUUAAGAUAAUCAAAAAUGAAUCUUGAUGUGAAUGGAGGGGGAGAGGGAGUGGGAGGGGGGAGGGUGGUGGGUGGGAGGGACGUUAUGGGGGGGAAGCCAUUGUAAUCCAUAAGCUGUACUUUGGAAAUUUAUAUUCAUUAAAUAAAAGUUAAAAAAAUUAUAUCAAUAACCAGAAUUUUAAAGGUUUUUAUAUAUAUAAUAUAUAUGUGUGUGUGUUUAAUUUAUGACAUUACAAUAUAAAUGUACAUAUAUAUAAUUUGUAAUAUAAAUAUAUAGAGAGCAACAUUUUGAAAUUUUUAUAAUGUAUUUGUUAUCAGAAAGGAAUAGCUCAGAUUUCUGUAAUAAUCCAGUUUCUGAUCAUUAAAAGAAUGAAGAGUAAGCCAUCAAGUUGUAGCUCAUAAUCUCUGUUUCUCUGUGUCUCCAAGUCUACCAACUUCUAAAAUUAAAUAAACAUACAUAAUUCUGGGAUAAAAAUAACAUUAAGAUCCCACUAUUUUCCCGCAUAAUUUUCAGGAAAUAUAGAAAAUAUAUGUAUGUUAUAUAUGUUACAUAUAUUAAUAUAUAUAUAUAUAUAUAUUACAUUGAGGAGAAAGAAUUAUUACCCUUGGCUAAAAUGGCCCUGAGACACUGUGUACCUGACAGUUUCCAGGGCAACUUACAGAAUGUUGGGGGUGAUGAUGAUCUUACAAUAAAAAAAAAUUUCUUCUGCCAUCAAUCAAUUCACAUGAAGAGACUCAGAAUUGAAAAAACAUACACGCACAGAAAAUUCAUGUACCAUAUGUCACCUCUCAAUGGUUACCUGACAACUCACAAAAAGAAAAAAUCCUGUGACUGUAUUGUAAUGUGAAAUACCUUUGUUAUUAGGGAAACUUCCACAAAACAUAGGAAGCCCAGCUGAGUACAGUCCAUAACACAGAGUCAGAACUGCAAAUCAAAUGGCUAUUUGUUAAGCCAUUGUGUUUUCUGAUUUGUGCUACAUCAAAUGCUGAUAUAUAUCAGUAAGUAUGAAAGGAAGUUGAAUUACAUGCAAACUACAAUGCAUACAAC
rnacentral:lncRNA from 1 species